CUCCAGUUAGUGGAGAAUCCAUUUUCCAUGGUAGAUUGUCAACUAUGAACAAACAAAGAGGCAAACAUCCAUUCUUGCCCCCUAUAAGUAGCUCAUCACACCACACUAAGUUUAUUCUCUACUAGAGAGAGUUGUACGAAACCAUUCAGUUCAACCAAUUUGAGAAGAAUUAUUACACUAUUCGUAAUGAAGAUCAGUGUGAUCAUGCUUGUUGGGAUGAUUUUUAUCAACUUAUGCACCUGCAUGCCAAGAAAUGUGGCAAGCCAUGGAUCUCACGAUGCGCAAUCUGAUGUCUAACACCGAUGGAAGGAACGGGCCUCCGAGCAACGAUCACCAGUGCCCACUUGGGACCUACCCUAAUUGCCAAGGGAUGUCCCAGAACACUCAAGAAGCAGCUGAAGAUGUUGGAGGAAACUAGGGGAAACUGAGAGAUUAUGAGACUGGAAUAAAUUCACUAAGAGAUGUUUAUAUUUCUUUUACUUCCACGUACGGAGUCAUUUGGCAUGAGAUAUGCGCCAUGUUGUAAAUGACAAUCUUAUUUCGUAGCCUGUCCGUAGGACUCAAGAUGCUACACACCAUCAAGUUCUCAGGAAUGUGCCCGUCCUAUCUGCUACUAAUAUACUGGUUGAAUUAUACGGCUACUUA